rnacentral:lncRNA from 1 species
GUGAUAUAAAGGGAGGUAAUUGUCGAGGUAUAUUUUGUUGACAAAAUAAAAACGAAGUACAAACAAUUUUUGUACUUAAAACUGAAAAGAAGAACAAUACAAAAAUAACAAUACAAGAAUAACAAUUUAUACCCACCUCGAAGCAUGGUGUGUAUACCUUGUAUUGUAAUACCGUUUUUCCUAUGGAUAUUCCACAGAUUCCUUCGACCGUUCAUUCUAAAAUUCUGGGACCCAUGGAAGAAACCCAUCAGCUGUGCAGCUGACACGACAACUUCAUCUUCUAAUUCCACAAAAACUAGCACACCACCUUCAAAAGUAAGUCCCUCGCUCUUCUCAGCAUUUUAAACUAUCGUGAAUUUAUUUGUUUAUUUUAUAAAUCGAAUUGUGUGAACAAUAUCAUGGUAGGUUAUUAACCACUAGUUUACAUUUCCUGAUAGUCCAGAAUGAAAACAGUGACUGUGCAAAUUGUGAUGGUAUAUUUCGGUAUUGUUUGAAUGCACCGAUUCACCUCGUAUAAUAAUAGGAUGUAAACUAGAACCUGCUUGUGAAUUGAACCCACCAGCCGAUGGCUGUAUAAACCAUCAACUGAUCCAUUUUAUUUUUAUUUUCUGUUCGGCGGAGUUUCGGAUCAGGACGCACAUCUAAGUUGGAUGUUUUUUCCGUUUUGACAGGGAUUUUUACCAAUUUUCCAUCCAACAUCCUACAGUAUUCACUCCAACCAGUGAAGAUUUUCUCGCUUUAAACUUCCACUUUGCUCUCAAUGGCAUCAAAUCGGGAGUUGACAUUCUGAGGAAAUCUUGGCUGUUCGACAUUUCCGUAUUUAACUCCGAGAGAACCCUGUUUGAGCAGACCCACUGUCAAAAACAGCUAGACAUUUCCACCCGUCCCAUUUUUUUUGUUCUGGGUUUAGUGCACUUCCAAACUACAUUAUCCACUGUUUUUUUUUUUAAAGACACGAGGUUAUUAUUGGAGGGAGAUUUGCUGCUAUUUCUAACAAACCGAGCGAUCAUUUAUAGGUCUUCCUCAUUGACUCGUUUACAAUAGAUAGUUUCUUAUAAUUGAUAAUCGAUUAACAUCGAAAAAAUAUUUUAAAAUCAAAGAACUUCUAGAAGGGUCAAGGAAAAGUGAAACUAGCGGAAAUCAAGUUUUUAAUUGUAAUUUUUUUAUUCGCGACGGGGAUGGGUUGUGUAGUUGCCGAAAGAUGUUUUUCCUGAGUCACUGUUGUCGCCAUUUAAUUCAUAGAGGAUACGCAAUUACGAUUUAUUACUAACAUCAGUCUGUGUGUGAUUGUAACAUCACUGCCAAGGAUUCCAUACGGUCUGAUAACAGAGUUGGUGACAACAUGAAUUACUCAAUUCAUACCAACCCUGAUCACGUUACUGAACAAGAUAAGUUUGUAUUUAUGUGUGCGUGUGUGUCAUUAUCUAACACUAAAUAUUUAGUGUCACGGAUGAGUUGAUUCUAAAAGGUAACUAUUAUCAUUAAUCACAUUCAAAUUAGGUCAGUCACUUCGGAAGUAAUCGAAAUAAUGAUGAUUGCUUUGGUUGAUGUUCUGUUUUUCUUGUGUAAUGAUUAAUAAAAAAAGUAAAUACUAGCAGUAUUACCAAUAUCAGGAUGAAUAGAUAUAUAAUAGAUGCGUGUAGAUAAGAAAAAAAGUUUUCUUUCGUUAACACCUACUAGAAUAUUCCUUAACACGCACCAUUUACUGAGAUUACAUACAUAAUACAAAAUCACGUUAAAGUACAAAUCUAAAACCGAAGAAACAUAAACACGAGCGAAGAAAACAGACAUUGACCAUUAAAAUAUAUUUAUGUAAUAAACUAACGUCCCAGUUGAAUGAUGAAUAUCAACAAGUUGUUACUAAAUAAACCAAUGACCAGAUCAAGAGAUCUACCCCUGGUAGCAAUAAACUUAAAUUGGCAAUGUCUAACAGGUGUGUCAAAUCAAAAGAUAAUUUUUAUUUUAAAUUAAAAGAAAAACGUGUAAAAAUAUAUUAAUGAAGAAAAGCUUAUAGUAAGUAGUUAAAUUUAUUUUCUCUAACUUUCAUUUGAAGGUGGUGUGCUAGUUUUUGUGGAAUUAGAAGAUGAAUUGGUAGUGUCAUAACUCGAGUCUGUUUGACAGUAAAGUUUACGUCAGCCGUCUUUGAGGAAUGUAGAGAGAGAUGACAGUUCCCAAAAUAUGACUUCUAUUACAUAAUAUGACUUCUAUUAUGUAAUAGAAGUCAUAUUUUGGGAACUGAAAAUUUCCCUUCCUGUAUUUCCUUGGAUGUUAUAUAAUUUACCGGAAGUUCGUUACCACCUACCCCAAUAUUUUCUAAAAAGAAACCUACCAUUUGUAUUUUUUUCCAGUAUAUUAUAUAAAUUAAAAGGAUGCGAGAUAAUGAGGUCUGGGGAUCUUUUCGGUUUGAACGGCAGUUUUUUCUAGCGGUGUCAUAUGGAAUUGUCACCCAUAAUUAUGACCCUAGAAUCGAUCUAUUGCAUUUCAAUCUGUUUUAGGGUUAGGGGUGGGGGGAAGGGUAUCUUUUUUUCUUCACAAAUGUAAAUAAACCCACUUUGUUUCUUAAACGAGGAACAUAUUCAUACACCUGAAAUUUGGUGUGAGUGAGCUAGUCGAAUACAUCGACCCCAGUACCCAACUUGUACUUAUUUUAUCGACCCUGAAAGGAUGAAAGGCAAAGUCGACCUCAGUAGAAUUUGAACUCAAGUGGUAGCGAUGGGUGAAUACUGCUAAGGAUUUAGCCUGGCAUGCUAAUGAUUCUGCUAGCUCGCCACCUUGGGAAAAUAACAUUAACAAGAAAAGCACUGAGAGAGUGCAAACCUCCACCAAGGUAACACCAACAUCCUCUAAAUGAUUAGCUAGAGAUGAUUUUUAAAAUGAGAAUAUCUGAAGCAGAUCCCAUGAUCAAAAGCACUCCAGCUAGGACCAUACUGGUUUAUAAAAUUUUUUUUUUCAGGCAUGCUAUUCUUUGGACUAAAUUAUCCAACGUGUCUUUGGAUAUGGUUUGAGUGAGAGUUAGCUGCUAUUUGGCUCAUCUUAGCUAAGGUAAAUUAUCUGAUAAUCCAUGGCUCAUCUUAGCUAAGGUAAAUUAUCUGGUAAUCCAUGACUCAUCUUAACAAAGGUAAAUUAUCUGGUAAUCCAUUUGUUUUAUUGUCAAAUUGGGUCAUAGAAGGAAAGUGCAUUUCAAGUUCAUGGAUAUAACAACAUGAUACACAUAGCACCACAAAAUGGUAAUUUGCUUCUGUCAUUGAUUUGUUCAACAUCAACAUCAACCCUUGCCAGCAUGGAAAAUGGAUGUUGAAGAUGAUUUUUAAAGUAUGAACAUUAAACUGAUGUAUUUAAAUCAAGUGAAACAGUUAUUGUUAAAAUUUUUUUAAAAAGAUCCUAUUUCUUUUAUUGCAGGAUGCACCUGUUUCUGCUGCCGAAACAACUCCACAACCGGUUUCCAAUAAGAAGGACGAUUGACCUCAAAAUUCAUGAAACUCAUUUUGUUUCCAUCUGACUUUUCUGAAUUUUGGUAAAUCAUUUGCUAAAGGGAUGAAGUGAUUUAUUAGUUUAUUCAAUAAGAUUUUGUUGAAAAGGACUAACAUUUUAUUUUUUAGAAAUAAAUUUUCAAUAAAA